UACAGAGGUCUCAAGCGUUGUUCGGAUUUAUUGGGCGUAAAGAGCGUGUAGGCGGCUAGGUAGGUCCGCUGUGAAAACUCGAGGCUCAACCUCGAGACGCCGGUGGAAACCAUCUAGCUAGAGUCCGGAAGAGGAGAGUGGAAUUCCUGGUGUAGCGGUGAAAUGCGCAGAUAUCAGGAAGAACACCCGUGGCGAAGGCGGCUCUCUGGGACGUGACUGACGCUGAGACGCGAAAGCGUGGGGAGCGAACAGG
rnacentral:rRNA from 1 species